AAGCGGCGGAGCAUGCGAUUAAUUCGAUGCAACGCGAAGAACCUUACCAAGGCUUGACAUACACCGGUAACGCCCAGAGAUGGGUGCCCCUUUGUGGUCGGUGGACAGGUGGUGCAUGGUUGUCGUCAGCUCGUGUCGUGAGAUGUUGGGUUAAGUCCCGCAACGAGCGCAACCCCUCGUCCUAUGUUGCCAGCGGGUCAUGCCGGGGACUCAUGGGAGACUGCCGGGGUCAACUCGGAGGAAGGUGGGGAUGACGUCAAAUCAUCAUGCCCCUUAUGUCUUGGGCUUCACGCAUGCUACAAUGGCCGGUACAAAGGGCUGCGAUACCGCGAGGUGGAGCGAAUCCCAGAAAGCCGGUCUCAGUUCGGAUUGGGGUCUGCAACUCGACCCCAUGAAGUCGGAGUCGCUAGUAAUCGCAGAUCAGCAACGCUGCGGUGAAUACGUUCCCGGGCCUU
rnacentral:rRNA from 1 species